rnacentral:rRNA from 1 species
GAGUGGCGAACGGGUGAGUAACGCGUGAGGAACCUGCCUCAAAGAGGGGGACAACAGUUGGAAACGACUGCUAAUACCGCAUAAGCCCACGACCCGGCAUCGGGUAGAGGGAAAAGGAGCAAUCCGCUUUGAGAUGGCCUCGCGUCCGAUUAGCUAGUUGGUGAGGUAAUGGCCCACCAAGGCGACGAUCGGUAGCCGGACUGAGAGGUUGAACGGCCACAUUGGGACUGAGACACGGCCCAGACUCCUACGGGAGGCAGCAGUGGGGAAUAUUGCACAAUGGGGGAAACCCUGAUGCAGCGACGCCGCGUGGAGGAAGAAGGUCUUCGGAUUGUAAACUCCUGUUGUUGAGGAAGAUAAUGACGGUACUCAACAAGGAAGUGACGGCUAACUACGUGCCAGCAGCCGCGGUAAAACGUAGGUCACAAGCGUUGUCCGGAAUUACUGGGUGUAAAGGGAGCGCAGGCGGGAAGACAAGUUGGAAGUGAAAUCCAUGGGCUCAACCCAUGAACUGCUUUCAAAACUGUUUUUCUUGAGUAGUGCAGAGGUAGAUGGAUUCCCGGUGU